CACAGAGGGAAACGGGCUAACUCUCAUCAGUCAAUUUCACUCCUCAGAAGAAAGGAGAGGAAUAUUUUUCACCACAGCAAGCUCUGUGACCCAACCACCACCUGCGCCACUCUGUGGGCUAGAAAUACUUCCCUCAGUUAAUGCAUCAGAAUUCCAGACUGGAUUUUUUGGAGAACCAAGCGGCCAUACCAGGAAAAGGACCUUGGCAAAGGCCCACUAAUUCAGGGAAAGGCACAGAAGCAAAAUCCAUCUAUCCUUGGAAGAAGGGAAGAAAAACACUUGGCCUAAGAUCCUGCAUAAGUCUGCUAUCACUGAGGGGGUAAUUGGCUUACAAUUUUUACAAAGUUACUGGAAUAUAUUCUUGUGUUGAAGACUUUUCAUAAUCCGUAUUCAAACAACUUCAUUUCAAAAGCUUCAGAAUGUUUCUGUUUCAACCCAUGAGCUCCAAGAAAAUAUAUAUAUUUAUAUACUGUUUUACUAAAAGGGAGACACUUUA